GCUGGCUUAGUCUGCCUGACAUGCUUAGAAGGCUAGAAUUGGGAUUUGUUUUCCAGGUUUGUCAACUUUCUGCUUUCUAGAAAGGCCUUCAAGUCAGGAAAUUUCCUGAAAUAUUCUAAAAGAUCAUGGGUGGCUGUAGUUGGAAACAAAGUAAUAGCAACUUCAAUAACGCCAUUGGUAGAAAUUUAUGAAAAACUUAUACAGCCAGAAAGUUUGAGGCAGGUACAAUGGUGAUUUCAGACUGUGACAAAUAAGCAUCUUUAGUAGAAUUCUUCAAGACUGGUGACCUCAGAAGUACAUUUAAACAUUAGGAAUGUGCACAGGUAAUGAGCAGCAUGGAUGUUGGCAAGCAGUAAAUGGUUAUUUCAGUUGCACACGAUUACGUAUAGUAGUGUAAAUAGAAAUUGUGGGUUGUUCUAUUUAUUUGGUAUUUCUACAUCAUUUACUCUACAUUUUCUCCUCAGCUUUAGUCUUUGUAUCACAUUUUAAAAAUCCUGAAACAUACUCCUUGAACUAUGACUUUGUUAACGUCUUUUUCCAAGUUCUCUCAGUUUUUUCUCUGUAUUGUAUUUUAGAGCAAUUUACCUGUGAUGACAGAAAUGAACCUAGAAAAUAUAAUGGAGUUUUCCUAAUCUUCCAGAGUUUGCCUUUGGAUUCAAUGAUCUUGUUCCAUGAAGUGAUCACAGAUCCAGACACACUUCUGGUCUCCCCAGGCUUAUCACCAUUACCAGUCUAGCUUCUGAUCUCUGAACCGCAGUCAGGACUCAAUUCAGUCUCUCUACGUGGGGAGAAAAGGUACUUCAAAAUCACAUCUAAACCUACCAACAAGCCUAACUACUUAAUAUAUUCUGUAGAUAGAGCACAAGCACACGGAGGUUAUGCCACUAAUUUAGGUUUUAAUGCUAAUAUUAUUGGACUUACAGUAGUCCAAGGAAUUAUUAAAUUAAGCAACAACUACCUUUACCUCAAAAAUAUUCACAUAUUUUACAUAACUUUGUUU
rnacentral:lncRNA from 1 species